CAUUGAGGACUUUUUAAUCCCCAUUUUACAAACAAGAAAGUUGAAGACCGAGGAGUGGGGGGCAUGAAGCUGCUUUUCCAAGGUGGCUUUCUCUGUAACUCACAGAACUAGCAUGUGUGCUCAGUUCUCUUGUCUCUCAGAGGUUCCCUGGGUCAGCCCGUGGCAUAGUCCUCCCUAGUAAAUACAAAAGGUACAACUAGGCAGUUUACAUGUAACCGACUAAUCGUCUGGUAAGGGUGUUGUCACACCUAUACUUUACAGGUGAUGACAACCCUUUAAUAUUUGGUAGACAGCUUUUGAACGCCAGCUUGUUUGACGCCAAGCGUAUUGCGUCAUUCCCCCCUGCUAUUUCUGUCCCUGUCUCAUUUGCAUGCUACUUCCUUCAGUCAGGUACUUACAGUUUGUUAAGUAGUGGACACUUGGUGCUUAUGAAAUCCUUGUCCAUAGGCUGUGCAUUUUGACCCUGGAUAGCUGGCAUGAAUACCUGUAAACGAGUGAAUUGGCCGGCUGGUUGUUUAGACAUUGGUGUCUCUGAGUCUGUUCAGUUUGAAUUAGUCCCCUGAGUUUUAAAAUCAACUCUUCGUGGACUAGAACUGUGUUUCUGAGUAGUAGGCCAUUGAGGGGACUAAGGUAGAGCCACUUUGAGGAGUCACUUGGUCAGCUGCUCUUCCCCCUUUAUGACAUCUGUCUCUCAGUUUUUAAGGCUGCACAUGGUUAAUUCAGUCACCAACUCUUGCUGGAGGAGGAGCUAGAGAACAGGAACAUAUUUUUUCCUCUGGCACACUAGCCUAUACCUCGGUGUGCACCGAGAAGACAAGGUGUCAAAGAUGCUGGAAGGGAGUGAACAUUAUCUGUCUCUGCCCUUUACACCUGCUUCCGUGAUGAUCCCUGCUUCACCACUGGAACCCGAAACGGUAGUUCCGGAUGACCUUGAACUGAACCCGGAGCCCUAGGGAUGGAAAGUCUCAGCAUGCAUGUGGGGUGCUGUGGAACCACAGUGUUCCCUGCAAAGGGACAGCAUCAACUGUUGCACAAGACAAUCUUUGAAGUCAGACAGACACCAUCUUCAGGAGGGCGGCUGGGCCUGUGUGCAAAAGAUCAUCACAACUGGGCUCGUUGACUUUUGGGGUUCCCUCAUUAGAGUAUCCCAGCUGGCUGUAUGCAGUUCUGCCCUGGUUGCACAUGGUUGAGGUUCAGGGAAAGGAAGGGCUGAAGUGUAGGGAGGGAGGGACUAGAGUGGGAAGCGCUGUCUAUGAUUUUGUGGGGGAGACAUCAUCCACACUGGCCACACUUUCCAGUGCGGCCUCUUUAAAGCUUCCCUUCUCCUGCCUGCAAUCUGCCCCCACCCCCUGACCUUUAUGUAAGUCUAAUAAAGUCGCUCGGCC
ensembl:lncRNA